CACCUCCAGUUUGGAAGAGUGCAGUUUUCUUCGGUUUACAGCAGGCACCUAUACCAUUUGACUGCCAGGUCUUUUCUUGCUCUGUGGUUCUUUGGUCAGAUGGGGUAGUCACUGUGUCCUGUUUCCUUCUCAACUUAAGCGUGACUGCUGACUGGUUCCUUAUCUCCUCCUGAGUCCAAGCCUUUAUAAUGGAGAGAAGGGAACUGAAAAUCCAGAACAGAGAGGACUGCACAUGGAAACCCACCUGAGUUCUCAGCGCUGAAGACUCAGCUGAAGAAGCCUCAUCUCCCCAGACAAGGCUCCUGGCUGGUUAGGUGGUUUUCCAGGUCACGUGACAGGCAAUGUCACAAGAGACUAAAUGCAGAAGCAGACAUGAGAAUCUAGCUGUCUUCAAUUAAGCCAAAC